GACGAACGCUGGCGGCGUGCUUAACACAUGCAAGUCGAACGGAAAGGCCCUGCUUUUGUGGGGUGCUCGAGUGGCGAACGGGUGAGUAACACGUGAGUAACCUGCCCUUGACUUUGGGAUAACUUCAGGAAGCUGGGGCUAAUACCGGAUAGGAGCUCCUGCUGCAUGGUGGGGGUUGGAAAGUUUCGGCGGUUGGGGAUGGACUCGCGGCUUAUCAGCUUGUUGGUGGGGUAGUGGCUUACCAAGGCUUUGACGGGUAGCCGGCCUGAGAGGGUGACCGGCCACAUUGGGACUGAGAUACGGCCCAGACUCCUACGGAAGGCAGCAGUGGGGAAUAUUGCACAAUGGGCGGAAGCCUGAUGCAGCAACGCCGCGUGCGGGAUGACGGCCUUCGGGUUGUAAACCGCUUUCGCCUGUGACGAAGCGUGAGUGACGGUAAUGGGUAAAGAAGCACCGGCUAACUACGUG
rnacentral:rRNA from 1 species